rnacentral:rRNA from 1 species
GCUACACAUGCAGUCGAACGAUGAUGCCCAGCUUGCUGGGCGGAUUAGUGGCGAACGGGUGAGUAAUACGUGAGUAACCUGCCCUUGACUCUGGGAUAAGCCUGGGAAACUGGGUCUAAUACUGGAUACUACCUCUUACCGCAUGGUGGGUGGUGGAAAGGGUUUUACUGGUUUUGGAUGGGCUCACGGCCUAUCAGCUUGUUGGUGGGGUAAUGGCUCACCAAGGCGACGACGGGUAGCCGGCCUGAGAGGGUGACCGGCCACACUGGGACUGAGACACGGCCCAGACUCCUACGGGAGGCAGCAGUGGGGAAUAUUGCACAAUGGGCGGAAGCCUGAUGCAGCGACGCCGCGUGAGGGAUGACGGCCUUCGGGUUGUAAACCUCUUUCAGUAGGGAAGAAGCGAGAGUGACGGUACCUGCAGAAGAAGCGCCGGCUAACUACGUGCCAGCAGCCGCGGUAAUACGUAGGGCGCAAGCGUUGUCCGGAAUUAUUGGGCGUAAAGAGCUCGUAGGCGGUUUGUCGCGUCUGCUGUGAAAGCCCGGGGCUCAACCCCGGGUCUGCAGUGGGUACGGGCAGACUAGAGUGCAGUAGGGGAGACUGGAAUUCCUGGUGUAGCGGUGAAAUGCGCAGAUAUCAGGAGGAACACCGAUGGCGAAGGCAGGUCUCUGGGCUGUUACUGACGCUGAGGAGCGAAAGCAUGGGGAGCGAACAGGAUUAGAUACCCUGGUAGUCCAUGCCGUAAACGUUGGGCACUAGGUGUGGGG